UCAAAUAGAAAAGAUGGUAAGAUGCUUGCAGCUUCACUGAGUGAAUAAUUAAGCGCAGAGGUUUGAGUUCCUAAUGUUUAUAGAAGAUGCCAACGUGGAGAAGCCCCUUGGAUUUAUGGCAGCUUCAUGUAAAAUUCAAACCCCCGAGUAAUAGAGACAACUCUUAGGAUAGUAGUAAGUCUAGCAGCUUCAUGGUAGAUUAAAAACUGAUAUAUAUAUAUAUACCUGUGUAGUUCUAACAAUUGUUUUUGUGUCACCUUUUCUAUGAUUUAUUAAGCGAUCUUGUAUCAGGGACACAAAGUUGAAGCCAAAAAGAAAGUGCUUCCUAACCUGAACAAGGCAUUGUCUUUGACCAAAGCAUCUAGUUCAGCUGAGACAGAGGCUUUCCAGUUCUCAAGGAUGAAGCGUGCUCGACUUGUUAGGGUCUGCUUUGCUAUGAACAUCAUCCCCACCAUGAACCUGGGCAGCCUCAACCUUGUCACCAGACUUGGGAUCUGCUUCCACGGACAUUUGAUUGGUUGCAGGUUCCACCGGAACCACAAUAAGAUCUUCCAGCAUCCGCUCUAUGGCAUCUACACCGUAGACUUCUACAUAGCUCAACGUGCAGUAGAACUCUGAGCCGUAAUGGCUGACCAAGCUUAACCUCAUGUACCUCGUCCACUUCGGUUCCGGAAGCAUGAACCGCUGGGCGUGCUUCACGUUCUCCGCGGAGAAGACGCCGAGCGGCGUCCAUGUCUCUGUUGGGUAGCUCAAGCUCCCCAACAGCUCGAAACCCUUGAAGUUGGAUGAGUAGUGCUCCAAAUUUGCGAUCUCGAUGGCAUCGACCAGCGUCUCCUCGGAGAGCUCUAUGACGACGAACUUGUCGACCGCAGAACACGGGUUCCGAAGCGUCUGGUUCCGGAACUCAUCCAGCCCGAUGUAGCCAGAUUGCGUGGGCGGAUCGGCCUUUUCUUUCGCCCGACUACAGUUUCUUCCCUUCUCUUCUUCCGAAGCUUUCCCAUUCGCGAUGGCUUCUUCAACUCCAAUCAAUUCUCUCAUUGGGUUUUCGGGUUCUUUCAAUCCGCAGCAACUGAAGGUAUUGUUCUGCAUAAAAGGAAAAUACGAUUCUAACUGUGUGCUUCUGCAGAGGUUGCCGCUGCCAUCGCCAUCGGACGACAAAUCUACAAAAGAUCGCGCAUCAGCAUCAAUGAACGCAGCUGCUUUUACGUAGAAUCCAACAACAGAAUGGAGGGACGGAGGUGGCAAGCAACCUCGACGACGGUCGCCGUGCCCCAAGCGGGAGUGGAGGACGAAGAGGAGGCACCAGAGGGGGAGGGCCACGGUGAGAGACAGCUCGUAGAGGCUCUUCCUCCUCCUGCCUCCAUGCGUGGCGACAUCUACCUUCUUCUUCAUGUGCGGCGAGCGGGCGAGCGAGCGAGAGAGAGAGAGAGACGGUAACAGCAGGAGCCGGUGGAAUUUGGAGAAGCGGUUCGCUUCGUCACGGAGCGAAGCGAGGAAAUAGGAGCGGGAAUCGGAUCGGUAGUGGACUUCUACUGGCCCAUAAGAUAUCACGGAUCACACGGCCCAACAUUUUCUCACCUUCAUUAUUAUUAAUGCUAUUAUCGUUAUUAUUA